rnacentral:rRNA from 1 species
GUGAAGGAAUCUUCCACAAUGGACGCAAGUCUGAUGGAGCAACGCCGCGUGAGUGAAGAAGGUUUUCGGACCGUAAAGCUCUGUUGUUGGUGAAGAAGGAUAGAGGUAGUAACUGGCCUUUAUUUGACGGUAAUCAACUAGAAAGUCACGGCUAACUACGUGCCAGCAGCCGCGGUAAUACGUAGGUGGCAAGCGUUGUCCGGAUUUAUUGGGCGUAAAGCGAGCGCAGGCGGAAGAAUAAGUCUGAUGUGAAAGCCCUCGGCUUAACCGAGGAAUUGCAUCGGAAACUGUUUUCUUGAGUGCAGAAGAGGAGAGUAGAACUCCAUGUGUAGCGGUGGAAUGCGUAGAUAUAUGGAAGAAUACCAGUGGCGAAGGCGGCUCUCUGGUCUGCAACUGACGCUGAGGCUCGAAAGCAU